AUGCACCAGCCCAUAGAAACCUGCAUUCAACAUAAGGGAAAAGUUAGCAUCAGCCCUGCAACUUUCAAGAAUAAUCUGAUUCAUAUGAUUACGACACAUCCGUGCAGCCAAUUCAAGUUAAAGUUAAGGGUGAUACAUGUACAUGGAGGUACAACCCAUAAUUGGUUUAGACGUAUUAUCUCUUCAUCAGUUGCACGAAUAGUUGCUCUAUGA